GACGGAGGGGGCAAGCGUUAUUCGGAAUUAUUGGGCGUAAAGAGCGUGUAGGCGGCCGGUUAAGUCAGGUGUGAAAGCCCGGGGCUCAACCUCGGAAGUGCACUUGAUACUGGUCGGCUUGAGUUCGGGAGAGGGAAGCGGAAUUCCUGGUGUAGAGGUGAAAUUCGUAGAUAUCAGGAGGAACAUCGGUGGCGAAGGCGGCUUCCUGGACCGAAACUGACGCUGAGACGCGAAAGCGUGGGGAGCAAACAGG
rnacentral:rRNA from 1 species